AUUGAACGCUGGCGGCAGGCCUAACACAUGCAAGUCGAGCGGAUGAAGGGAGCUUGCUCCUGGAUUCAGCGUCGGACGGGUGAGUAAUGCCUAGGAAUCUGCCUGGUAGUGGGGUAUAACGUCCGGAAACGGGCGCUAAUACCGCAUACGUCCUGAGGGAGAAAGUGGGGGAUCUUCGGACCUCACGCUAUCAGAUGAGCCUAGGUCGGAUUAGCUAGUUGGUGGGGUAAAGGCCUACCAAGGCGACGAUCCGUAACUGGUCUGAGAGGAUGAUCAGUCACACUGGAACUGAGACACGGUCCAGACUCCUACGGGAGGCAGCAGUGGGGAAUAUUGGACAAUGGGCGAAAGCCUGAUCCAGCCAUGCCGCGUGUGUGAAGAAGGUCUUCGGAUUGUAAAGCACUUUAAGUUGGGAGGAAGGGCAGUAAGUUAAUACCUUGCUGUUUUGACGUUACCAACAGAAUAAGCACCGGCUAACUUCGUG
rnacentral:rRNA from 1 species